rnacentral:tRNA from 1 species
GGAUAUAGCUCAGUGGUAGAGCACAUACUUAGCAUGCGUGAGGUCCUGGGUUCAAUCCCCAGUACCUCCA